rnacentral:SRP_RNA from 2 species
GCUGGGUGUGGUGGUGGGCACCUGUAAUCCCAGCUACUCAGGAGGCUGAGAUAGGGAGGAUUGCUUGAGCCCAGGAGGUUGAGGUUGCAGUGAGCCUAGAUCGUGCCACUGCAUUCCAGCCUGGGCAACAGAGCAAGACUCUGUCUCAA